rnacentral:rRNA from 1 species
AUGCACGCUGGCGGCGUGCCUAAUUCAUGCCAGUCGAGCGAACGGACGAGAAGCUUGCUUCUCUGAUGUUAGCGGCGGCCGGGUGAGUAACACGUGGAUAACCUACCUAUAAGACUGGGAUAACUUCGGGAAACCGGAGCUAAUACCGGAUAAUAUUUUGAACCGCCUGGUUCAAAAGUGAAAGACGGUCUUGCUGUCACUUAUAGAUGGAUCCGCGCUGCAUUAGCUAGUUGGUAAGGUAACGGCUUACCAAGGCAACGAUGCAUAGCCGACCUGAGAGGGUGAUCGGCCACACUGGAACUGAGACACGGUCCAGACUCCUACGGGAGGCAGCAGUAGGGAAUCUUCCGCAAUGGGCGAAAGCCUGACGGAGCAACGCCGCGUGAGUGAUGAAGGUCUUCGGAUCGUAAAACUCUGUUAUUAGGGAAGAACAUAUGUGUAAGUAACUGUGCACAUCUUGACGGUACCUAAUCAGAAAGCCACGGCUAACUACGUG